AGCAGCGUGGCUCAGUGGAAAGAGCCUGGGCUUCAGAGUCAGGGGUCAUGGGUUCGACUCCCGGCUCUGCCA
rnacentral:tRNA from 1 species